GCAGAACUUGGGAGAAUGCAUACUGUUCCUCUGGGUGGGAAAGAUUCGAGACUUCCUUCUCCUCAAAUCCCAAUCAGCUGAUGCAGUUCCAGAAACACGGAAAACAACAGAAGAGGCUGAAGUGAAUGAUCAAGAUGAUUAUUUUCUUGGGUGUCAGCCGCCCUCUCAGCAAUUAGCAGUGGAUGUGGAUAUUCCUGAAAGCUCAGAAGUCGAACAACUUCCUCCAAUAAUUCACGGAGAACCAAUCACUGAUCGGAGGAGUACAUUUCAAGCACAUCUAGCUCCUGUAGUGACACCUAACCAGGUAGGUACUUGGGAAACUUG